UACAGAGGGUGCAAACGUUGUUCGGAUUUACUGGGCGUAAAGCGCGUGUAGGCGGCUUGGCAAGUCGGGUGUGAAAGCCCUGGGCUCAACCUAGGAAGUGCACUCGAAACUGCUUCGCUGGAGUCUCGGAGAGGAAAGCGGAAUUCUCGGUGUAGAGGUGAAAUUCGUAGAUAUCGAGAGGAACAUCGGUGGCGAAGGCGGCUUUCUGGACGACGACUGACGCUGAGACGCGAAAGCGUGGGGAGCAAAC
rnacentral:rRNA from 1 species